UACGUAGGCAGCGAGCGUUGUUCGGAGUUACUGGGCGUAAAGGGUGUGUAGGCGGUUGUUUAAGUUUGGUGUGAAAUCUCCCGGCUCAACUGGGAGGGUGCGCCGAAUACUGAAUGACUUCGAGUGCGGGAGAGGAGAGUGGAAUUCCUGGUGUAGCGGUGAAAUGCGUAGUUAUCAGGAGGAACACCGGUGGUGUAGACGGCUCUCUGGACCGUAACUGACGCUGAGACACGAAAGCGUGGGUAGCAAACAGG
rnacentral:rRNA from 1 species